rnacentral:rRNA from 1 species
GAUGAACGCUGGCGGCGUGCCUAAUACAUGCAAGUCGAGCGAACGGACGAGAAGCUUGCUUCUCUGAUGUUAGCGGCGGACGGGUGAGUAACACGUGGAUAACCUACCUAUAAGACUGGGAUAACUUCGGGAAACCGGAGCUAAUACCGGAUAAUAUUUUGAACCGCAUGGUUCAAAAGUGAAAGGCGGUCUUGCUGUCACUUAUAGAUGGAUCCGCGCUGCAUUAGCUAGUUGGUAAGGUAACGGCUUACCAAGGCAACGAUGCAUAGCCGACCUGAGAGGGUGAUCGGCCGCACUGGAACUGAGACACGGUCCAGACUCCUACGGGAGGCAGCAGUAGGGAAUCUUCCGCAAUGGGCGAAAGCCUGACGGAGCAACGCCGCGUGAGUGAUGAAGGUCUUCGGAUCGUAAAACUCUGUUAUUAGGGAAGAACAUAUGUGUAAGUAACUGUGCACAUCUUGACGGUACCUAAUCAGAAAGCCACGGCUAACUACGUG